rnacentral:lncRNA from 1 species
CUGAGGAAGUAGCUUGGACGUCAUGUUUUUAUGCACUAGAAAAAAGCUGGGUUAUUGAGGAAUUAGGGAAAUGAUUGCAUUUUCACUCAUUAGAACCAUAUGGUAUCAGAGGGUAGGAACAUUCCUGCCUUUUGACUGAAUAAUUCCACCUCUAGGACUCUAUCCUAAGAAAACAAUCAGAUACGCACAGAUGUUUACAUAUCAGGACAUUUGCAGUAAAGCAACAACAAAGCCAGCCCAUCCCAGGCAACCACUAGAAGUGCCAGGAGAUGCAAGUGUUGUGUGAAAUGCAGUCGCCAAAGGCGAUCCAUGUUUAGGAGAAUAUUUAAUGACAUGAGGAAGGUGAUUUCAUGGCUGUUCCCCUAAACCCUUUUGGAUGUGUCCUGCUUGAGGCAGAGGGGAGCCACUCUUGCAGGCUCUGUCUCCAGCGGAGUCUCUGCUGUCUCUGAGCCUACCUGUCCCACCCCCCUUCAUAGGAAGCGCCCAAAGGGUUUCUCUUAUUGGGGCCACAUGGUCACCAUGCAGUGUGUCCCCCAUAAGAUCUUCAGGGUCUGCCCUCCUUCAGCCUUACAAAUCAUUAUACAAUUUUUGGGAAAAGUCCUGUAGUCAGACAAAUCCCAUAAACCAAGUGGAGUUGACAGGUUGGAGUUAAAUAUUAACCUUAAGAAAAAUGUUCUAUGGUCCCAUCUUCACAGAGUUAGAGACUAAGUUUCCUUGUGCCAGAUGGGAUGGGUUUUUUCCUUUUCUCUAAGGACCUCUGACAUUGCUAAACAAGGGAGUGAUUUGAAGUAAAGGCCUUUAACACCAGAAUGUCCUAAAGGGGUUGGAAUGACCUUUGGUUUGCAUUAGAAAUGACCUCUUCAGAGUUCCUAUUGUUGCUCAGCGUUAAUGAACCCAACUAGUAUCCAAAAGGAUUCAGGUUCAACUCCUGGCCCCGCCCAGAGGGUGAAAGAUCUGGCAUUGCUGUGACUAUGGUGUAGGUUGGCCCCUGCAGCUCCAAUUCAGCCCCUAGCCUAGGAACUUCCAUAUGCUGCAGCUGCAGGUGUGGACCCCCCUACCCGCCCCCAAAAAAGAAAAAAAAAAGGAAUGAUGUGUCCCCUCCCCCCAUGGUCAGAUUAAAAUAAUACCCAAUUACUUCGAAUGUGUACAUGUAAACUGAUGGAAAGAUAUCUAUUCAUCCAAUAAAAACAGAAAUUCCACCCAUGAGACUUACAAAGACAGCAUUAGCUCAAGGUUCUGAAUGUCUGUGUGGUAAGAAGUUUGUGAAGUUGCAGUGAGAAUAAUGAGAGCUACAGCCAAGACCUACACCACAGCUGCAGCAAUGCCUAAUUCUUAACCCAUUGUGCCACAAUGGGAACUCCUGGGCGGAGUUACUGAGUGAGUAUCUGCUGGUGUAUCAACACCAUCAGCUUUCCCAGGAAGGGGGACCAGACAAGCCUUGAUCAUGAACUCCUUCCUUCCUUGGGGCAGAAAAAUCAGCAUUUGGAAAAAGUGUGCCCUGGAAUCACUGGAUCUCAGGUUCAGAACCUGAUUCCUGAUGCCCAGCUCGGGUCUCCAUGGCAAGCACUCAACAAAAUACUCCACGAACUGAAUUAUUUAAAUUACAGUCCCUGUCUGUAGCCAAGCUCAUGCCUAAAAUCAGCUUGGGAGGGAAGGUUAGUGAACACCAGGUCUGCCUGCAGGUGAUUUUGCUCCCCUUUUCCUUUUUGCUCUGGGAAAAGCUUUGCAUCAAGCUUUGCCAGCUUGGUGCUGGAGGUCCGUCCUACUACGCUCUGUGCUGGCUGGCUCAGAGGGGGGCCCUGGGCAGCCUGUGCUCCACUCUGUCCCUCAGCCCCUCUUGUCCCUUUGGGGGAGAGAAAGGCUGUGGGCACUGGUGGUUCUGUUAGAAUCUGGGGGAAGCUUGAGGGGCCUCUGUGCAAAUUUGGGGCAAUGGGUAAGUGUGUUUCUUCUCAUUCCUUGUAUAUCAGAGCACAGCUAGAGUUGCUGUGCCAGUGGAUGAGAAAUGUUUUCUCUUCUGUCCUUGUUUCUGUCCAACCAGACCGCUGUGGGAUGUGGUUCUAGAAGCCUGCUCGCCAGAGAAUUGAGGCUUUGUACCUUGCAUGAUCCAGCAGGGGCCACUCAAUUCAUGGUCACUUGUGCUCAUCUCUGCUUGACACUUGAUGCAGGAGCACUUUAAACCAUGCCCGUUUUGAAGCUGUAAAAGCCUUCCUGAAAUUAGAUGUUAGACAAACUAUUAGAAUUGUCAGAAGUGUUAAUUAUUAAUCAGCUCCUAAUAAUUGGCUGUAAGAAUCUUCCUAAGAAAAGCCUCAUGGUGGGGUCCGAAGCUGGGGGGGGCCAUGGGUGGGGGGUUUUGGCGGGAGGGGUGGCUGUGACCUCCAAAGGCCUCGAUCUGAGCCAGUUGUUUGAGAUUCUGUUGGGAGACACAUCUCAACCUCUGCAGGAAAAUGGAAGCAAGUCUGGCUGACACGGUUCCAGGUCUAGAAGCUGCCCUCAGUGGGCCCAACUUGUAUGUGGGUAGAUGGCAGUUCACAGGGACCAGCUCGUGAAAUGCUCCUAAAGCCAAACCAGGAGAGGAAUUCCCUGGUGGCACAGUGGGUUAAAGACCUGGAGUUGUCACUGCUGUGGCUUGGGGUUGAUCCCUGGCCCCAGAACUUCCGCAGGCUGAGGGCACGGCCAAAACUAAAACCAAAACACAAACAAGCAAAUAAGAGGUGAGAGAGGGAACUGGAGCAAGGAGAGACUUUUCCUGUCGUGGCUCAGUGGUUGAUGAACCUGACUAGGAACCGUGAGGUUGCGGGUUCAAUCCCUGGCCUCGCUCAGUGGGUUAAGGAUCUAGUGUUGCCUUGAGCUGUGGUGUAGGUCGCAGAUACAGCUCGGAUCUGGUAUUGCUGCGGCUGUGGUGUAGGCUGGCAGCAACAGCUCCGAUUAGACCCCUAGCCUGGGUACCUCCGUAUGCUGUGGGUGUG